AGUCUUCUGUAUCCGUGCUGAGAUUUCGUCACACAUCAGACCACAAGGGCUGAUGAGACUCUCAAGAUAAGUGAAGCG
rnacentral:pre_miRNA from 1 species